GUUCCAUUUACCAAGUCAGAAAACAAGAUGGCGACCUCCGCGAACGUUGUCUCGCGUUUUCCUUGUCCGAAUAAAACUUGAACUUGUGGACAAAUAUGCGCUCCUUCUGCAACCUUCAAAGGCGGCGGAUGAAGAGGAAACACAAAGACGCAGAAGGAAACCUGUUUUUUGUGUCGGCGUAUUUCACCGUUUACAGCGAGGUCACUCAAGGUGUGGACGGAGGACCGCCGGAUCAAGACCCUGUCAUGGCCAGCCCAAUCCCCAGACCCGAACCCCAUUGAAAACCUCUGGAAUGUGAUCAAGAGGAAGAUGGAUGGUCACAAGCCAUUCAACAAAGCUGAGCUGUUCUGAAUGUUUGCACCAGGAGUGACAAAAGGUCACCCAGCGGCAAUCUGAAAGAAUGCUGGAGAGCAUGAAAGCCGUGAUUCAAAAUAAGGGUUGUUCCAACAAAUACUGAUUUACAAGCGUAAAACAUUAGUAUUGUGAUGUUUCAGAAUAAAUAACUUGUUUUCCUUGA